AGAGUUUGAUCCUGGCUCAGAUUGAACGCUGGCGGCGUGCCUAACACAUGCAAGUCGAGCGGUAACAGGUGUAGCAAUACAUGCUGACGAGCGGCGAACGGGUGAGUAAUGCUUCGGAAUCUGCCCAAUGGUGGGGAAUAACCAGCCGAAAGGUUGGCUAAUACCGCAUAAGUCCUACGGGAGAAAGCAGGGGAUCGUAAGACCUUGCGCCGAUGGAUGAGCCGAAGCCGGAUUAGCUAGUUGGUAGGGUAACGGCCUACCAAGGCGACGAUCCGUAGCUGGUCUGAGAGGACGACCAGCCACACUGGGACUGAGACACGGCCCAGACUCCUACGGGAGGCAGCAGUGGGGAAUAUUGGACAAUGGGGGAAACCCUGAUCCAGCGACGCCGCGUGUGUGAAGAACGCCUGCGGGUUGUAAAGCACUUUUAGUGG
rnacentral:rRNA from 1 species